UGCCUCAGCGCGCGCGGUGGGCGGGGCGGGGCCUGUCCGCGCCUAGGAGCAGUGGGCGCUGCGAGCAGCGAGGCCAGAUGCUGUCUUGGGAUGUAGGAAAAAUAAAUCCACAAAAGCUACCAAGUUUGAAGGGGACCAUGAGUCUUCAGGCUGGAGCUUCCAAACCAGAUGAAAACCCCACAAUUAACCUGCAGUUUAAGAUCCAGCAGCUGGCCAUUUCUGGACUCAAGGUGAAUCGUCUGGAUAUGUAUGGAGAAAAGUACAAACCCUUUAAGGGCAUAAAAUACAUGACCAAAGCUGGGAAGUUCCAAGUUCGAACCUGAAGGGAGCAUUUGCUGAGGGAAUAGUCUUGCACACUUUUUCAUUUCUUACUUGUCUAAAAGUAAAACAAAAUAUCAGCCUGUCUCCUAGGUCAGUCCCCUCCUGGACCCACCCGCUCCCUUUUUUCCUUAGCCUUCAGUGCCAUGGAACUAAUCAA
rnacentral:sRNA from 1 species